rnacentral:rRNA from 1 species
AUUGAACGCUGGCGGCAUGCUUUACACAUGCAAGUCGAACGGCAGCACGGGGGCAACCCUGGUGGCGAGUGGCGAACGGGUGAGUAAUGCAUCGGAACGUACCCAGUCGUGGGGGAUAACGCAGCGAAAGUUGUGCUAAUACCGCAUACGACCUGAGGGUGAAAGCGGGGGACCGUAAGGCCUCGCGCGAUUGGAGCGGCCGAUGUCUGAUUAGCUAGUUGGUGGGGUAAAGGCCCACCAAGGCGACGAUCAGUAGCGGGUCUGAGAGGAUGAUCAGCCACACUGGGACUGAGACACGGCCCAGACUCCUACGGGAGGCAGCAGUGGGGAAUAUUGGACAAUGGGCGCAAGCCUGAUCCAGCAAUGCCGCGUGUGUGAAGAAGGCCUGCGGGUUGUAAAGCACUUUUGUUCGGGAAGAAAUCAUGUCGGUUAAUACCCGAUGUGGAUGACGGUACCGAAAGAAUAAGCACCGGCUAACUUCGUGCCAGCAG